ACAGGCGACCUGGCGUCGGUAGCGAUUUGGUUCAACCACACGACUUUUAUCCAGAAUCUGAGCCAGAGGGAGAGGCUGCUGAAGAAGUUCAAACUCUACAACUGCAGCAGGACAUUUCUGAAUGGUGCUCCUGUGGAAACUGUGCAACCAUGCCCACAGAAGCUGAGAACAUCUGCUGCUAGGAGAUACCACAGGUUACCACACGGCUAUGGGAGAUCGAGGAAGAUUUACCAUGUAUGGUAGACCGUCCUGGGUUGGAGCCGCUCUGCCUCAAUGUGUUCUGCCUGCAACAUGUACCGCACUGACUACGGUCCUUUACGGUUGAGAGGAAUACACCAGUACGUUUUGCUUCUUUGUAAAAACAUAUAGUUUCAAUCUAAAUAAAAGAUGUUAGGCAGUCUUGUUUUACUUCAGUGCACAUAAUUUUACAAUGGUAAUAACACGCCACAAAUGGAGUAACACACCCUCAAAUAAAUUAGUUUAGCUGCUCUUUGAUUUGUAAAGUUCUUCUAUCAGCAGAUAGUGUGCAUAUAAUAUGAAUUCAGAGGA